GACGAACGCUGGCGGCGUGCUUAACACAUGCAAGUCGAACGGAAAGGCCCUGCUUUUGUGGGGUGCUCGAGUGGCGAACGGGUGAGUAACACGUGAGUAACCUUCCCUUUACUUUGGGAUAACUUCAGGAAACUGGGGCUAAUACCGGAUAGGAGCUCCUGCUGCAUGGUGGGGGUUGGACAGUUUCGGCGGUUGGGGAUGGACUCGCGGCUUAUCAGCUUGUUGGUGGGGUAGUGGCUUACCAAGGCUUUGACGGGUAGCCGGCCUGAGAGGGUGACCGGCGACAUUGGGACUGAGAUACGGCCCAGACUCCUACGGGAGGCAGCAGUGGGGAAUAUUGCACAAUGGGCGGAAGCCUGAUGCAGCAACGCCGCGUGCGGGAUGACGGCCUUCGGGUUGGAAACCGCUUUCGCCUGUGACGAAGCGUGAGUGACGGUAAUGGGUAAAGAAGCACCGGCUAACUACGUG
rnacentral:rRNA from 1 species